rnacentral:piRNA from 1 species
CCCCGCUCGAAGGGAACGCUCGGUGCU